rnacentral:tRNA from 1 species
AGCGGUGUGGCGCAGUUAGGCAGCGCGGCGGGCUCAUAAUCCGCAGGCCGUGGGUUCGAAUCCCACCACCGCAA